rnacentral:rRNA from 1 species
CCUACGGGCGGCAGCAGUAGGGAAUCUUCCACAAUGGGCGAAAGCCUGAUGGAGCAACGCCGCGUGGGUGAAGAAGGUCUUCGGAUCGUAAAACCCUGUUGUUAGAGAAGAAAGUGCGUGAGAGUAACUGUUCACGUUUCGACGGUAUCUAACCAGAAAGCCACGGCUAACGACGUGCCAGCAGCCGCGGUAAUACGUAGGUGGCAAGCGUUAUCCGGAUUUAUUGGGCGUAAAGGGAACGCAGGCGGUCUUUUAAGUCUGAUGUGAAAGCCUUCGGCUUAACCGGAGUAGUGCAUUGGAAACUGGGAGACUUGAGUGCAGAAGAUGAGAGUGGAACUCCAUGUGUAGCGGUGAAAUGCGUAGAUAUAUGGAAGAACACCAGUGGCGAAAGCGGCUCUCUGGGCUGUAACUGACGCUGAGGUUCGAAAGCGUGGGUAGCAAACAGGAUUAGAUACCCUAGUAGUC